rnacentral:lncRNA from 1 species
GGCCGCCACCGCCCCUCACCAUGGUUCCGCCGCCCGAAUCCGCGCUGGAGCCGCCUCAGGAGCCGCCAGACAAUGACCCGCCCGAGCGCGACGCCCGCCGCCGAGACCCCCGCAGCCAAUCACGGCGCGCCGUGCUUAUUUGAACGGCCCGCUCGGACCAAUCGGCGAGCGGCUUCUUGCUACCCCCUCCCGACCAGCUCCCUCUGCUGGCCCCGCCCCUCGACCCGUUUAACGGCCGGUGGGGUUUUUUUUUUUUAGGUUUGCACACGGCACGCAGGGCUGAGGGGAGGGGGCGGCGCGGGGGAGUGACGUGUCGAAGAGCCAAUAGAAAGAGCCGAUCCGGCUGAGGGAGGCGGGGUUGGGAGAAUAGACAUGCGGCGGAGCCAAUGAGAGGGGAGAAGAGGCUUUCCCGCCCAUUCUCUCUCCCCGCCCCCCGGGUUGUUUGUUUGGGGGGGGGGGAGAAGGCGGCUGAGGGGCCCUGAGGGGAACCGGGGACGGGCACCGGGGACGGCCUCUGGAGGGCCCCCGGUUGUGAUCCAGGCCCCGUGGCCGUCGUCUGUCCGCCCGCCCGUCCCCCUGAGAGGCCCCAGCGCCGCCCCCGUGAGGAGAGGCCGCGGCUCCCAGCCCGGCCUGAGGGGAAUUCACCCCCGGGACGCCGAGGGGGCGCCCUUGUGUGGUGUUUUUUUUAUUUUUUUUCGCAGGAAAUUCCCCCAAUAAAGGCCGGUGUUGCCCUAAAGGGGAGCACGGUGGGGCUGGGGUGGCCCCGGUGCCCCCCCCGGUGCGGGUUUCGGUCGGGGCUGGGGGGCUGAGGGGCGGCUUUUCGCCCAGGGGCUCGGAGGGGAAGGUCGCUGCUAACGGCUGGGAUCAAAUAGUGUGGAAAAAGCCCCAAAAUUCCUCCCAGGAGCCGCUGCAGGUCAUUGGGGCGGCUGUGAUGGAAAAAAAGAAAAAUGGAAAGAGGCAAAAAUCCCCCAUGGAAAGAGCUGCGGAGCCGGACCUGCCCUCACGAGAGGGGGCGCCCCGGCUGCCUCCCCAGGACGUGCAGGACAGACGCUGCCAGGGAGGAGGCGAUGGAGGAGAGACUGUAAAACUCCAUUUGCAAAAAUCUGCUACGGUAAGGAGUGCUCGCUAGCAUGAGGAGUUCGUCACGUCGGGCGUCAUCUUUGCUAGUGGUAAAUCCAGGACCUGCCUUCGGCAACCGCCGGCCGCUCCCCGGCGCCUCCCGAAGCCGCCCCGCCGGCCGCAGAGGAAGGGAAUGAGAAUCGGCCCCGCUGCCGUGGGAGAGGGGGACGGGGCCCCUCCGGGCGCCGGCAGCCCCGCGCUGGGCCGCGUAAAGUGCAUGGUUUGCUUUAGUUUUUUUUUCUUUCAUUAAAAAAAUAAGAGGAAUAAAACUUUCUUCUUUCGUCA